rnacentral:rRNA from 1 species
AGUGAACGCUGGCGGUAGGCCUAACACAUGCAAGUCGAACGGCAGCACAGUAAGAGCUUGCUCUUACGGGUGGCGAGUGGCGGACGGGUGAGGAAUACAUCGGAAUCUACUUUUUCGUGGGGGAUAACGUAGGGAAACUUACGCUAAUACCGCAUACGACCUACGGGUGAAAGCAGGGGAUCUUCGGACCUUGCGCGAUUGAAUGAGCCGAUGUCGGAUUAGCUAGUUGGCGGGGUAAAGGCCCACCAAGGCGACGAUCCGUAGCUGGUCUGAGAGGAUGAUCAGCCACACUGGAACUGAGACACGGUCCAGACUCCUACGGGAGGCAGCUGUGGGGAAUAUUGGACAAUGGGCGCAAGCCUGAUCCAGCCAUACCGCGUGGGUGAAGAAGGCCUUCGGGUUGUAAAGCCCUUUUGUUGGGAAAGAAAAGCAGCAGGUUAAUACCCCGCUGUUCUGACGGUACCCAAAGAAUAAGCACCGGCUAACUUCG